rnacentral:tRNA from 1 species
CGGAGUAUAGCUCAGUUUGGUAGAGCACCUGGUUUGGGACCAGGGGGUCGUAGGUUCGAAUCCUGCUACUCCGACCA